rnacentral:lncRNA from 1 species
AGCAUUCUACUAUUUACACUUAGGGUUUAGUCAUUAUGGUAACAUUCAGAGGUAAGUUGAGACUUCACGUUAUCUUCCUGAACACCAGUGAAUCUCUCAAAUACUUUCUCUUAAAAGUCAAGUUUGUUUUUCAAAUUUGUGGCUUCCUCAAGCCCAGCACUCAUGAUAAGAUUCAAUAUUUUCUACCAUUUCACAGAGCAAAUGUAGUAGUAACCCAGUCAUACUCCCAUCUAAAAAGAUAACAGGUUUGCCCCUGGAGAUUUUUCCCUAAAGGACUUUGUAAAGUCAAUACAGCUUUUAGGGAACAGCAGUAGUAAUGAUGAAAUCAAAAUUCGUCCCGGCCCUAUAGUAUCAAAAUGCUUUUCCGGAAUACAGUUAUUCUAAUAUUUGUGUCAUUGCUUGUAUCAUCUAAACAAAAACAAGAGAAUGGCAAAUAUCCUGCAGUUCUUUACCCCUUUCUUCUAGAAAAGAACAGAAGUUCUAGAAAAGAACAGAAGUUUAUUGUCAAAAGCAACUGAAAGCAAUCAAUGUAAAAAAGAACAACUCUACCAAUUGUUUUUAGAGUAAGAGAUACCCCCCUCCCCAACAACAGACACCAGCUUUGUCAACCAUAGGCUUAGGGUACAAGAAGAGCAGAGAGUAUUGGUAGCUUAGGGAUAUUUCUCUAAAAAUAUAAAAUGCCCAACAAUGGGGAGAUGGAACUGGAAGAGACCAAAUCCAGUAGAUAGAUAUGGCCCCCAGGUGAGGCAGGGGACCACCCACCCAUCUUCACAAUUUUUAACCCAGAAUUGUUCCUGUCUAAAGGAAAUGCAGGGACAAAAAUGGAGCAGAGACUGAAAGAAAGGUCACCCAGUGACCAGCCCAACUUGGGACCCAUCUCAUACACACACACCAAAUCCUGACACUAUUGCUGAGGCCAUGCUGUGUGUGCAGAAAGAAGCCCGGCAUGGCUGUCCUCUGAGAGGCUCUACCAACAACUGACUGAGACAAAUGCAGAUACUUACAGCCAACCAUUGGAUUGAGAUCAGCAACCAAUAUGGAAGAGUUAGAGGAAGAACUGAAAGAGUUGAAGGGGAUUAUAACCCCAUAAGAAGAAAAACAAUGUCAAUUAACUCAGACCCCUCAGAGCUCCCAAAGACUAAGCCAAGAGCCAAGGAGCAUACAUGGACUGGUUCACGGCCCCAGGAACAGGUGUAAGAGUGCACUGCCUUAUAUGGCUUCAGUGUAAGAGGAUGCACUUAAUCCUGUAGAAACUUUAUGCCCCAGGGAAGAAGGAUGCUGGCGGGGGUGACAUGGAGAUAGAUGGAUGGAUGGGAGAACACCCUCUCAGAGGCAGGGUGUAUAAGUGAAGAACUAGGGGAGGAGGGACCAGGAAGGGGGCAACUUUUGGCAUGUAAAUAAAUAAUUUAAUAAUAAUAAUAAUAAUAAUAAUAAUAAAAUAUAGUUGUAAAAAUAAUCUAUAAGCCACAAAUUUCAUUUAGGGAAUAAAUUUGCUGGACAUAUUUUAAGCCUGGUAAUAACAAUACUUCAUACUUAGUUCCCACCUCACAGUUAUCAUGGUGCAAAAUAUUCAUAUCCCGAGGUUUACACUGGCCUCAUAAAACAGGAAGCUCACAAAUUCCUUUUUCAUAUCAUGAGCUGCACUGGCCAGCCUCAGAAGCACUUGUAGAUGCUCCUUCCCUGCUAAAAGUCCACUACCUUGCUCAUGAUAACAGAAAAACAAGAGCUAGCUUCGCCUCCCUGAGGACUGCUUCAUAAUGGGGCGCUCACAAUUCUCUAGGAGGUUUGAGUGUUUUGGAACAGAAUGAGGUAAAUGUGUUCUCGAGGCCCCUUUCUAGGCCAUCUUAGAAUUUAUCCACCCUAGCAGUGCUUCAAGAGUACCAGAGACCUUCAGGGAUUGUCAGGCUCAUGCCCUUCCAGACAUAGGAUAUCUUUUGCCAUAAGAAUCAAAUGUUCAGGUGAAGAUAUUAAGUCUGUUCUCCUUCUCUUCCAAGCUGGAUGUCUUCACCCUGAUGGACAUGCCCUUCUUUUGCAAUUCAGCUCUGAGCACUGCUGUUUACAUUUUGAUCUUGUUCAGAAAUCUCAUCAAUUGUGUUCUGAUUCAAUGCCCUGACUUCAAAUUCACUCAAUCCUUUUAUUCAUUUUCUUUUUAUUAUGCUUAUUUAUUUGGAGCAGCAUAACACAGUAUACAUGUGGUAGUCAGAAGACAGCUUGUUGGAACUGGUUAUCUCCUUCCACCAGGUGGGUCUCAGGUAUGGAACUCAGGCUGUCUGGCUUGGCAGCAAAUAUUUUACUAGCUAAGCAAUCUCACCAUUACCCAUCCUUAUAAAUUUUCUUGUCUACUACUUGGCUUAUUCCAAUGACUAAUAAGAUCAAACACUGUCAAUACUGCAUUAUCUUGAAGAACUGCCAACAAAGCCCAGUUAUAUAGGUCAAAGAGGUUUUGUAAUAUCUGGUAUACAAUUGUCAGUAAUUAUUUCAUUGAUCAGAUGAUUUAUUAUCUAAAUCUCUUACAAUUCUUUAUCCACUUUUGACAGCUAGUUGGAUCCUAUAGGAACCUGAAGAAAGACAACUGUAUUGAGAAUUUUGGUUUCUUUAAAAAUCCAGUUAUGUGAAUAUGUCUUUUGUUUCAAUCCCAGGUGUGGAAGAAGAGGCUGCCUCACCACAGGUGAUUAUGAUUUGCCUUGUGCACUAUUAGGGACAUGAUUUUUGCCAGCUGCAGAUAGUUUAAUUUUGGGACUCUGGAGAGGUCCAAGGGGGCUUGUGGCAGCCGUUACUCCCCUGCUGCUGGUUCCUGCUGGUCCUUGCUAACCCCUGCUGCUGUGCUUGCUGUACACUUGCUGGACUGCUGGUUUGCUAUUGCUGGAUUGUUAGAUAUUUUGACAAUUAAGACUGGAAUUGUCCAUAGGUACUGGACGUAAUCUAAAGAGUUUUAUGUCCCCUUUCUCUCUAACCUUCUUUCUCUCCUACCUAGUGCUAGGGGGCUGGAAGGGAUUGGGGUGGAAUAACGGUUGGAAGAGUAUUUGCUAUAAGAACCCAAUAAAAAAAGGAAGCC